rnacentral:tRNA from 2 species
GGGGUUAUAGCUCAAUUGGUAGAGCGUUUGCAUGGCAUGCAAAGGGUUAGCGGUUCAAAUCCGCUUAACUCCA